GAUGGAAACUCUGAGGGCCGAGCUCCACGCCGAACAUUUUCCGUUCCCGACUCCUUUUUUUUUUCACUUUUUAUUCCUUUUUUUUUUUUUUCCUUUCUCCUCUUCAGUUUCAUUGAAGAAUUCGCUGCCCCCCAACCCCCCCCAACCCCCACAGCUCCCCCCAGCCCCGGGGCAGCCUCAUCCCCGGGGGGAGGGGGCGAUGCUCCCCAUCCCCAUCCCCACCGUGGGACUGGGGGGGAUGUGGGGGCACCCCGAGCACCCCAGAGCCCCCCGGGGAGGGGAUUGGGCACCCCCGAACCCCCCGGAAAGCAUCCCCGGGACCUGGGGCGGGAGCGGGACAGGAACGGGGACAGGAACGGGAACGGGGACGGGAACGGGGACGGGGAGAGGGACGGGGACGGGGACCGGGCGCUCCCGCGCUGCCGGCGGCCCCGAGGCUGGCCCGGAGCGGUCCCGGUGACCUCAUCGGCCGUGGCUGGCCCCGGGCCCGGCGGGGACGGUGGCCCCGGUGCCACGUGGCCGGGUGGCGGCGCUGCCAGCGGCAGGGCAGGGGGGGUCCCGGGGCUCCCCUGUACCCCAAAACCUUGGUGCGAGGGGCUGAAAACCCCGAGAGCCCCCCAGGAGGGAGGGGGGGAGGUUUGGUGGCUCCGGGGGUGCAGAGCUGUGGGGUGUCCUCUGGGUGCCAAAGGGCUCAUCUGGCACCAAGGUGUCCCCAAAAUCUGCAGGUCUGGGGGGAUCUGAGUGCCAGGGGGAGCCAGGCACUGCUUGGGGUGCUCGGGGUGGGGUUGGGGUAUUGGGGUUGGUGGGAGGAGCUGUUGGGGUGGUUGGGGGUUUGGGUUGGGUCCUCGGGGCUGUUUGGGUUGGGGUUACUUGGGUUUGGAGUUUGGGGUUGGGGUGUUUGGGUUUUCAGGGUUUUGAGCUGGCGCUGUUGGGGUUGUUGGGGUUGGGGUUUUUGGGGUAUUUGGGCUCCUGGGCUGGGGGUCAGGACCCAGCUGUGGACUCGGGACCCCCUCCCCAAAGGAGGGGCUGGGGCCGGGCAGGGGGAGCGGGGCCCGUGCCCCCCCCCCGGCCCCGCCGCCCCCAGCCAGGGUCCCUCUAGCUGGAGCUCGGCCCAGCAGCAGCAGCAGCAGCAGCAGCGAUGCUCCAGCUCUUCCUCCUCCUCCUCCUCCUCCUCCUCCUCCUCCUCUUCCUCCCCGGCCCCACGUCAGCACCUCCCUGCCGGCUCCCCCAGUUGAUCCCAGUUCCCUGCCAGGGGCCGGGAGCGGCACGGCCGAGGGGGGGUUAACUCUUC
rnacentral:lncRNA from 1 species